AUUGAACGCUGGCGGCAGGCUUAACACAUGCAAGUCGAGCGGAGAUGAGGUGCUUGCACCUUAUCUUAGCGGCGGACGGGUGAGUAAUGCUUAGGAAUCUGCCUAUUAGUGGGGGACAACAUUCCGAAAGGAAUGCUAAUACCGCAUACGUCCUACGGGAGAAAGCAGGGGAUCUUCGGACCUUGCGCCAAUAGAUGAGCCUAAGUCGGAUUAGCUAGUUGGUGGGGUAAAGGCAUACCAAGGCGACGAUCUGUAGCGGGUCUGAGAGGAUGAUCCGCCACACUGGGACUGAGACACAGCCCAGACUCCUACGGGAGGCAGCAGUGGGGAAUAUUGGACAAUGGGCGGAAGCCUGAUCCAGCCAUGCCGCGUGUGUGAAGAAGGCCUUUUGGUUGUAAAGCACUUUAAGCGAGGAGGAGGCUACCUAGAUUAAUACUCUGGGAUAGUGGACGUUACUCGCAGAAUAAGCACCGGCUAACUCUGUGCCAGCAGCCGCCGUAAAAC
rnacentral:rRNA from 1 species